rnacentral:rRNA from 1 species
UUUUUGAAUUUAAUAUAAAGUCUAACCUGCCCACUGAAAUUUUUAAAUGGCCGCAGUAUUUUAACUGUGCAAAGGUAGCAUAAUCAUUAGUCUUUUAAUUGAAGGCUGGUAUGAAUGGUUGCAUGAAAUAUUAACUGUUUCAAUUUAAUUUUAUUUAGAACUUUAUUUUUUAGUUAAAAAGCUAAAAUUUAAUUAAAAGACGAGAAGACCCUAUAAAUCUUUAUAAUUAUAAUUUUAUUAAUAUAUAGAUAAUUUAAUUAAUAAUAAAAUUAAUUAUUUUAUUGGGGUGAUAUUAAAAUUUAAUAAACUUUUAAUUUAUAAAAACAUUAAUUAAUGAGUAAAUGAUCCAUUAUUAUGAUUAAAAAAUUAAGUUACUUUAGGGAUAACAGCGUAAUUUUUUUAGAGAGUUCAUAUUGAUAAAAA